rnacentral:rRNA from 1 species
CAUAGCGACUAUCGUGGCAUAUCAAUAAGCGGAGGAAAAGAAACUAACAAGGAUUCCCUUAGUAACGGCGAGUGAAGCGGGAAGAGCUCAAAUUUGAAAUCUUCAAGGUUUACCUUGACGAAUUGUAGUUUAUAGAAGUGUUUUCUGUAGUGGAGUUGGUAAAAGUUCUUUGGAAUAGGACAUCAUAGAGGGUGAGAAUCCCGUAUUUGGUCAUUAUUCCUAGCUGUGUGAUACACUUUCAAAGAGUCGGAUUGUUUGGGAAUGCAGUCCAAAAUGGGUGGUAAAUUUCAUCUAAAGCUAAAUAUUGGCGAGAGACCGAUAGCGAACAAGUACCGUGAGGGAAAGAUGAAAAGAACUUUGAAAAGAGAGUUAAACAGUACGUGAAAUUGUCAAAAGGGAAGCGUUUGACACCAGUGUUGUUUUCCUCGAAAAUCAAUUAAAAAUGAUGGGAUUUUGUGUUGUAUUGACUUUAUCAGCUUUCUGCACUUUUUUCUGAUCUUUUUUAAUGCACUUUUCGUUUAACAAGUCAACAUCAAUUUCUUUUGUUGUAAAAGAGUCAUUGGAAGGUGGCUUUUCUUUCGGAGAAAGUGUUUAUAGCCUUUGACUUCUGCAAUCGGAGAGAUUGAGGUCUGCAGCGUAGAUCCUUCGGGGUUAGAUACAUUUGUGCUAAGCUAUAGUUCUUUAUAGACAACUUGUUGACUAUAAUCAAUCCUGUAACUUACUCGCUUAUGCUAUUUUACCUACGCUUAGGAUGUUGACGAGACUGUCGAUCUC